CUGAAACUGAAGAGUCGUCUUCAACAUUCUCUUAGCUUUUCUCAAAAGCUCUCCACUCCUCACACGAUCUAUUGUUGAUUGCAUACUUCCAUCUUCAGAUUCUUCGAGGUAAUUCCAAAGUUAAAACUCAUAAUUAUCAAACUUUUCUCAAAAGCUUUUGUUUGUGGGAGAUGAUUUUGAUUUUGAUUUUGUUUACGUACUGAUCAUCGAACUUUUUCCGAAAGAUUUCGUUUAUGGCAGUUGAUUUUGAUUUCUAAUUUGUUCGUUGAUUUUUUUUCAACUUUUUCAUCUAUUGAUCAUCAAAAUUAUUAUUCAAAGCUUUUGUUUAUGGGAGAUGAUAGUGGGAGUGGAAAUUAUUAUUUUUGUCAAGCUCAGGUAAAGGCACGCCUCUGUUAUAAAUUAUUUGUUGUUUUCUAAAUCUACGACACACAAAAAGACAUUAGAAUAUUUGUGUUAGGUACUGCACCCUUCAAUAAUCCUCGAUGGCAAACUCCGAAUAAUCUUGAGAGCAAGUUUUCACGGGUUGGUGAUAACUACCGCUCCAUCGAUGAGGUUGCUUCUGCUCUUCCACAUGCAGGUUUGGAGUCCUCGAAUCUGAUUGUUGGUAUUGAUGUCACCAAGAGAAAUGAGUGAACAAGUUAAACAAGGGUGAAAUCAUUCGGUAGGAAGAGCCUGCAUUACAUUGGGACAAUAAACCCUUAUCAGCAAGCUAUUUCCAUCAUUGGAAAGACUUCAUCGGUUUUCAAUCAAGAUAACUUGAUCCCGUGUUAUGGAUUCAGAUAUGGGAAAUGAAUAAUAUAGUUGAAUGAAACCAUUCCUUGAGCACUACAAUAACAACAGGUCAAAGAUGACAUCUCACUUUCGGGAACGUCCGUCUUGGAAUGAGAAUCAUGCGUCAACGGUCCUGGUGGUUAUAUACUAAAAGUUUGUUGAGGAGGAUCACCGAGCAUCAACACAUCACAUGUUGAAGCAGCGAUUAAUGAGAAUGGUAUCGGAUAAAGACCUUCGAUGGUUUACAACAGGACUCAUAGCAAUGCAUGCUACAUAAGCUAGCGGAGAUGUCAAUAGCUGUCUUACUCCUUAGUCAGCCUCUUAUCUCUAAGGAAGGUGGACUCUUGGAGUUCUUUGAUAAACGGAUCAAGGUUGAGUGGUCACGUGGUGAUUGUUUUUGCUGAAGAAGCAGCGCAAGAGUUGAUGUGCAAAAACAUGAAUUUAACACUGAUGCCUCUGAUUACAAGUUUCUUAAAGAUGUCGGCUUCUGGAUACAACAAAGCACCAAGGAUCAUUUUAAGAAGCUUAACAUGAUGAGGAAUCUCAAAUACAUAGGUAACAAAAACCAUAACUCUUUCUCCCCACUUUUCAACUAUUUGGAUAUUGUAAAGUCAUUUCUUCAUUUCUUGCGUUUAGAUCCUACAUACAUGAUUCGGGCUGUUCAACAGUAAGAAUGUACAAGUUGAAUUGAAAUUCUUAAAAACAGUUUGUAGUUGUUUAAGAUUUGAUGUAUGCUUAUAUUUCUGAUGUGUAAGUUUAGAUAUUUUUCUU